rnacentral:rRNA from 1 species
UACGUAGGGGGCAAGCGUUGUCCGGAUUUAUUGGGCGUAAAGAGCGUGUAGGCGGCCAGGUAGGUCUGCUGUGAAAACUCGAGGCUUAACCUCGAGCUGUCGGCGGAAACCAUCUGGCUAGAGUCCGGAAGAGGAGAAUGGAAUUCCCGGUGUAGCGGUGAAAUGCGCAGAUAUCGGGAAGUACACCCGUGGCGAAGGCGGUUCUCUGGGACGGUACUGACGCUGAGACGCGAAAGCGUGGGGAGCGAACAGG